AGCCAUGUAGUGUAGUGGUUUAAGUGUUAGACUUCGAUCCUGAAGACCAGGGUUCAAUUCCCGACUCGGCCA